AUGGGGUGCAGCAGGCGCGAAGCCUCCGCAAUGCGGGCAACCGCGACGGGGGGACCCCCAGUGCCGUGGCAUCGCCACGGCUUUUCCGGAGUGUAAAAAGCUCCGGGAAUAAGGGCUGGGCAAGGCCGGUGGCAGCCGCCGCGGUAAUACCGGCGGCCCGAGUGGUGGCCGCUAUUAUUGGGCCUAAAGCGUCCGUAGCCGGGCCCGUAAGUCCCUGGCGAAAUCCCACGGCUCAACCGUGGGGCUUGCUGGGGAUACUGCGGGCCUUGGGACCGGGAGAGGCCGGGGGUACCCCUGGGGUAGGGGUGAAAUCCUGUAAUCCCAGGGGGACCGCCAGUGGCGAAGGCGCCCGGCUGGAACGGGUCCGACGGUGAGGGACGAAGGCCAGGGGAGCGAACCGGAUUAGAUACCCGGGUAGUCCUGGCUGUAAAGGAUGCGGGCUAGGUGUCGGGCGAGCUUCGAGCUCACCCGGUGCCGAAGGGAAGCCGUUAAGCCCGCCGCCUGGGGAGUACGGCCGCAAGGCUGAAACUUGAAGGAAUUGGCGGGGGAGCAC
rnacentral:rRNA from 1 species